UUUACUUAUUUACUUAUUUGAGAGAGACACAGUGUGAGAGAAAGAGUACUAACAGGAUGGAGGCAGAGGGAGAAGCAGGUCCCCACUGAGCAGGGAGCCCACCAUGGGGCUCGAUCCCAGGACCCUGAAAUCAUGACCUGAGCUGAAGGCAGACGCUCAACUGACUGAACCACCCAGGUUCCCUCAUCCCUUUUUCUUAUUAUGGAUUAUUCUUCUGCGGUUGACUUAUACAUCACUGUGGGCUUCCCGCAGGACUUAGAAAGCCCUGCGGUGGCUCAGGUGGGCAGAUGGACAUUUCUGUGCCUUCCAGCAUGGUAACAGGAUUUCUGGGCCACUGAAGGCACUGGGGAUGUUUCCAGCAGCUCUGGUGAUCUUAAGACGUCCUCAUUACGCCUGGGUUUUUGUCAGUGCUGUCUCCCUGGCUCUGAGCUGAGGGAAGUGGCAGAUACUAAGGCUGCCGGGACGCUGUAACUUAGAACAUUUCUAUAAGGUCCAGUUGCCCCUAUGCCUCCAGUUUGGGCAGUGGCAAUCCCUGGCCUCCAAAAUGACCGAAACUAGUGAGACAGGCUGCUGUGGCACCUUCCGCGGGCAGUCAUCACAGGUUUCUGUGUCCUCACAGCAUCACUGAAACACUUUGGUUUUACCCCUGUCCUUCACUGGCAGCCAGCAAGAGGGGUUACCAGACCCCUACGGUGCCUCAGAAUAUUUUUAAGUGGAUCUGACUGGCCAAAGGUGUCCUUGUUAGGACUUGCAGGCUGCCAAAAGCCAUUGCUAGGCCCCUAAAGGGACAUGUAAAUUUUUCCAAAGUCUCAUCAAGAGGGCAUAGGGUGCCUUUCUAGGUGUGACUUCAUUACCUCAGGUCAAGGCCGUGGAAUCAUUCAGGAGCUCCUCCUGUGAAAGGACAAUCGCUGGUACAACAGGAUCCUCACAGCAGCUGUGCACCUGCGUCUGUUGGUGACACUCACAGUCAUCUCUGGCAACCAGACACCCUUCAUGAUACAGAAAAUAUAUUCGUUGCUGUAAAAGAGAACCUCCAUCAUAAUGGUAAUGACAGUGGUCACAAUAAAAACUGGUGAAUAUCAACAAGAAUGAUGAUUAUUGUCUAUUGACGCUAUUGGCAAUGAUACUAAACCUAUGGACUUGGGACAGAGAACAGAUUCCCCUUAGUGAAUAACAGGUACAAGUAUUGGGCCUCAUGGGGUAGUUUAGAGUCCCAGAAGGCAAAGAUGAAGAGCCAGAAUGAUAAGAAAAUCCGCUUGGAGGUGGGCAUGUGUAAACACAAGGACUCCUGAGUGAGCCUCGCAUUACAAGGCUUACGGGGAACCUUUAAGGUACCCCUAGUCCUGGGUCUCCAUGCCAGCCAAUACCUGGUAGCUUUCAGGAGAGGAGACAGCUGGCUGUUGUGGCAGGGUUCCUCCCAACAAGGGAGGUCUCCAGACUCAGCACCUGGCACCCAGAAGCACAGACUAUGACAAAGAAGCAGCCGCCAGUAUUGUGUCAUCCCAAACCAUCUGGCUGCUCUUCUACUGUCUGCACUUCCAGGACCUUCAGGACUGAUGUAUCUGGGUACUUGUAUCUCCUCCAAGAGCUGCUGGAGGGGGUCACCCUUCAUUCUCUCCUACCUGUGAGAGUGGAAAUGGCUGAAACCAGUGGUUCCCAGGCUUCCUAGAAGAUUCUGUGUUUGCUCCAACAGGCCAGUCACCCUUUCAGUGCCUUUUCGUGUUACUCCAGCUAUCCCUGGACAUUGGAGGAGACUUAGGAAAUUUCUAGAAGCUCAGGAAUUCUGGGAGGCUGUGUGCAUCUUUUGCCAUGGGUUCUUGAACAGAUUUUGAAAAUUCUGCAGAGGCUCUGGUGAGUAGGGAGGCCCUUUCCUGCCAUGCCAGUGACAAAGCAUGGGCUCCUGGUUGCUGAGCUGAUUUUUAAAGAAACCGUAAAUCUCAGUUGGUAACAAAAGCCUUUCAAGAGCCAUUGCUGCCAGUGGGAGGGGUUUGUAAUCCUGAGUUUACUUAGAAAAUCUUUAGGUGGCCAGUUGGUGCAAGGAAGUCUUCUCUGGGGGCUGCAGGUGUGCAUAUAGAGUUUCUGGCAUUUGGGGGAGGUGUCUAAUACUUUCCAGAGCCUAAGAUAAGACCAGGGUGUCCUUUCCAAGUCUCCCCUGCUGGUAUGAGUAGGUCCCUGCAUCCAGAGGAAGCUUGGAAUAGUUCAGGAGACCCAUCCUUUGAAUUAGCAUCAGGCGGUACACAGGGAGCCCGGAGGUCCUGGGUGUGUGCAUGUCUUCGGGUUCCCUUUGGAUAGUCUUCAGUAGACUGGAUAGACUUCACAAACUGAGAAACUUUAUACAACAUCAUAUAUCAACAAUCACACAAAAGAUCCGUGAUAGGAACCAUAAUAAUAGUGAAUGACAACAGUAACAGUCACAAUGAUGAUCUUAACGACACAAAUAUUAAUCACUUUCAUGAAGAUAAUAUUAAGGUAAAGCGAUGGAGAUUGAGAAUGGAUUUCUCGGAGUAUACAACAAUGUACCGACAUAGAGGUUCACGGUAUAGUUUGGAGACAGAGUCCUAGGACUGCACCAUGAAAUGUGGUCUGUGAUGGCAAGGGAAGGCAGUAGCGGGGAAAAGAAAAGAAGCCACAUGAGGCUACCAGUGAAAGUAAGGCCCUGUGUGCCAGCUCUGGAACACACGGCUACCAAGCAUUGGUAAGAGACACUGGUCCAGGUCCUGCCUACCACAGGCACUCAGAAGCUUUCAGUAGUUCUGUCACAUGGAUGGCUGGGUAGGGCUCCCAACCAGGAAGUAGUGACCAGACCCCUGCUGUCCCCUCCAGCCUCAGAAGCCCCGCCUACACAGGGCAUGGAGCCCCCAGCUCUACGUCAGAUCUCACCUCCUGGCUAGCCUUCUGCCAUUUAGUUUCCCUGAAACCCAUUAUGUUAACAGUAUCAUCAUACCAUGCGUUCACCAAAGCCUGUUGGAAGGCAUGAUCCUUGGUACUACCUCACUAGCAGGGGGCCAAACAGGCCAGCACCUGCGGUUCUAGGACUACCAUACAGGACAUAGAAAAUUCUGAGUUUGCUCAGACUGGCAGAGAGCCCUCUCUGGGACUUGCAGUUGAGCUCCAGGCCUGCAUGCCUAAGGUACUUAGAAAAUUUCCAGAGGUUCAUGCAGUCCUAGGACACAAAUGCAUACAGUGGUGGCCCUGAGAGCUCAAAAAUGAACUUAGAAAAAUCUGCAGUUUCUGGAAGAAGGUAAAGAACACUGCUGCCCAUUCAGAGAGAAAGGAAUGGUUUCAUUGCCUGAAAGAGAUUCCUACAUCAAAGUUCUUGAGUCGGAGGAACAUGUGGAAAAAAGACACACCAAACGAAUAUGCCUUAGACCAGGGGAAAUUCCUCCAGAAAAGUACUGGCCAAAGCCUGAAUCCAUCCUCAGGAGACUAGAAUCCCCUCUGCUUUUCAAUGCUGUCAUGAUUUGCUAGUCAAAAUACAGAAUAGGAAAUCCUGAACAGGAAAACCACCUGCUCAGCCAUUCAACCAGGGAUAUCCCUGCUCAGGUGGAAAUGCACA
rnacentral:lncRNA from 1 species